GUGCAGCAGGCGCGAAUUUUUCACAAUGGGGGCAACCCUGAUGGAGCGACGCCGCGUGGAGGAUGAAGGCUUUCGGGUUGUAAACUCCUGUCAUUUGAGAACAAGUGUAGCCAACUAACUAUUGGCUACUUGAUAGUAUCAGAAGAGGAAGGGACGGCUAACUCUGUGCCAGCAGCCGCGGUAAUACAGAGGUCCCAAGCGUUGUUCGGAUUCAUUGGGCGUAAAGGGUGCGUAGGUGGCGCCGUAAGUGGGGUGUGAAAUUUCGGAGCUUAACUCCGAAACUGCAUUCCAUACUGCGGUGCUUGAGGACUGGAGAGGAGACUGGAAUUCAUGGUGUAGCAGUGAAAUGCGUAGAGAUCAUGAGGAAGACCAGUGGCGAAGGCGGGUCUCUGGACAGUUCCUGACACUGAGGCACGAAGGCUAGGGGAGCGAACGGGAUUAGAUACCCUGUAGU
rnacentral:rRNA from 1 species